CCUGGAUUUGGUCUUCGAUCGGAAACAUGUAGCUGCCUGAUCUGAUUGGUUUCGCGCUGAGCUUUUGGAGAGACGCUGAUUUUGGAGGAGACGUGCAGCAGCUUUGAUCCAUGACAGCUCAUGACUGCUUGCCCCCAUGGGACGCCCCGAACGGGAUAAACAACACUGGAAGAGACCACUCUGUGCAGUUGGAGAUGAAUCCACAUCAACACCUUAAAGAUCCAUGAAGCUAUCGAGCAACGCAAGAACUUUGAGGAUGGAUUUCGACUGCAAUUAAUAUCAACAGACUGCUACAAUGUGUUACAUUUAAUCGCCUUUCAGUGCACAACUUAACAAUGAUAGAACUGUAAUGAAAUGGGCAUUCGAUGUUGAGGAUGAGUCUGGUUCCUUUCAAGGUGUCUUCCUCAUUCCAUCUCAGGGAGUUUUUCCUUUACCACAGUCACCACUGGCUCACUCAUUGGGUAUAAAGUUACAAUUCUAAGGAACAAUCCAUUCUAUAUUUUUCAUUGAACAUUUAAACCUUUUUCACAUAAACACAUAAACCCCAAACUGUUAUCACAAAGUUGGAGGCCCACCUCUGUGCAGACGUCUUUGGGUGUGGUAGUUUUUUAAUGUUCUACGAGGAUUAGGAGACCUAAAACUGUUCCAGCAUGACAGUGGUGCUGUGCACAAAGAGAGCUUCAUCCUUAUUGAACUGGAUGGAUGUGAACGCUGACUGCACCCCAGGCCUCCUCACCUUCUGAUUUUACUAACAACACCCUUGUAGCUGAAAGAAUCUCCACAAAGUCUGGUGGAACAUCUUCCCAGAAGAUUGAAGCUUAUAAUUAACAACAGAUGGAGACAUAAAAAUGUUUAAAAAGAAGGACAUAGCAAUCUUACUUUUAAGUAACUUUUAAACUUUUGUCCAUAUCCUAAAGCAAACACUUUCCAGAACAAAAUGUACAAAACUCUAAGAUGAUAGCAUCAUUACUAGUGCGAAUAAUGUAAUAUUUCUGAGUGGAGCUUC